rnacentral:rRNA from 1 species
ACACGCAUGACACACUGCAUAUCAAUAAGUGGAGGAAAAGAAGCUAACAAGGAUUCCCUUAGUAACGGCGAGUGAAGCGGGAAGAGCUCAAAUUUGAAAUCUUCAAGGUUUUACCUUGACGAAUUGUAGUUUAAAGAAGUGUUUUCCGUUGGAGUUUUGGUAAAAGUUCUUUGGAAUAGGACAUCAUAGAGGGUGAGAAUCCCGUAUUUGACCAUUAUUUCCAGCUGUGUGAUACACUUUCAAAGAGUCGGAUUGUUUGGGAAUGCAGUCCAAAAUGGGUGGUAAGUUUCACCUAAAGCUAAAUAUUGGCGAGAGACCGAUAGCGAACAAGUACCGUGAGGGAAAGAUGAAAAGAACUUUGAAAAGAGAGUUAAACAGUACGUGAAAUUGUCAAAAGGGAAGUGUUUGACACCAGUGUUGUUUUUCUGAAAAUCAAUUAUGAAUGGCUUGAUUUUAAGUUUCAUGACCUUAAAAGCUUGUUUCUUAUUUUUCAUGUCUUUCGUAAUGCACUUUUCGGUUAACAAGUCAACAUCAAUUUCUUUUGUUGUAAAAGGGUCAUUGAGGAAGGUGGCUUUCUUUUCGGAGAAAGUGUUUAUAGCCUUUGAUACCUCUGCAAUCCGGAGAGACUGAGGUCUGCAGCGUAGACUCUUCGGGGUUAGAUACAUUUGUGCUAAGUUAUAGCUUUUCAUAGACAACUUGUUGACUAUGUUUAGUCUUGUAGCUUACUCGCUUAUGCUAUUUUACCUACGCUUAGGAUGUUGAUCUACAGAGCGAGAGU